CCCUUAGACGUUCUGGGCCGCACGCGCGCUACACUGACCAGUGCAACAAGCAUCCGUCCUUGGCCGACAGGCCCGGGCAAUCUUUGAACGCUGGUCGUGAUGGGGAUAGACUUUUGCAAUUUUUGGUCUUCAACGAGGAAUUCCUAGUAAACGCAAGUCAUCAACUUGCAUUGAUUACGUCCCUGCCCUUUGUACACACCGCCCGUCGCACCUACCGAUUGAAUGGUCCGGUGAAAUCUCGGGACGGCGGCUUGGUCGCUUGCGUCUGACUGCUGAAACUUGAUUAAACCAUAUCAUUUAGAGGAAGGUGAAGUCGUAACA
rnacentral:rRNA from 1 species